rnacentral:lncRNA from 1 species
UGACUCCCAAGAAACACAAGCAAUCCAUGAGGAAUAGUUGACCAAGACUAGUGAUUCGGAAGUAAGGGGAUACACACGUGCCCCGCAAACACAAGCAGCAAGCAGUCAUGCAAGGAAAUGAGCAGUCAUAUAGCAAAUAGUCAUGCACAAAGAGAUAGCCUACCACACAUCUACACACAAUCUAAUCAUCUAAGUCUAAU